rnacentral:rRNA from 13 species
CCUGAUGACCAUGGCGAACUGGAACCACCCCUUCCCAUCCCGAACAGGGCCGUGAAACAGUUCAGCGCCGAUGAUAGUGCGCAUUCGCGUGUGAAAGUAGGACAUCGUCAGGC